GACGAACGCUGGCGGCGUGCCUAAUACAUGCAAGUUGAGCGCUGACGGAUGGUACUUGUACCAACUGGAUGAGCAGCGAACGGGUGAGUAACGCGUGGGUAAUCUGCCUUUGAGCGGGGGACAACAUUUGGAAACGAAUGCUACUACCGCAUAAAAACUUUAAACACAAGUUGUAAGUUUGAAAGAUGCAAUUGCAUCACUCAAAGAUGAUCCCGCGUUGUAUUAGCUAGUUGGUGAGGUAAAGGCUCACCCAGGCGAUGAUACAUAGCCUACCUGAGAGGGUGAUCGGCCAAAUCGGGACUGAGACCAGGCCCAAACUCCUACGGGAGGCAGCAGUAGGGAAACUUUGGCAAUGGACGAAAGUCUGACCGAGCAACUCCGCGUGAGGGGAGAAGGUUUUCGGAUUGUAAAACUCUGUUGGUAGAGAAGAAAGUUGGUGAGAGUGGAAAGCUCAUCAAGUGACGGUAACUACACAGAAAGCGACGGCUAACUACGUG
rnacentral:rRNA from 1 species